GCCAGACUCCUACGGGAGGCAGCAGUGAGGAAUAUUGGUCAAUGGUCGGGAGACUGAACCAGCCAAGCCGCGUGAGGGAUGAAGGUACAGAGUAUCGUAAACCUCUUUUGUCAGGGAACAAAGGCGGGGACGUGUCCCCGGAUGAGUGUACCUGAAGAAAAAGCAUCGGCUAACUCCGUGCCAGCAGCCGCGGUAAUACGGAGGAUGCGAGCGUUAUCCGGAUUUAUUGGGUUUAAAGGGUGCGCAGGCGGAAUGUCAAGUCAGGGGUAAAAUGUCGGGGCUCAACCCCGUCGUGCCGUUGAAACUGGCGUUCUUGAGUGAGCGAGAAGUAUGCGGAAUGCGUGGUGUAGCGGUGAAAUGCAUAGAUAUCGCGCAGAACUCCGAUUGCGAAGGCAGCAUGCCGGCUCCACACUGACGCUGAGGCACGAAAGCGUGGGUAUCGAACGGGAUUAGAUACCCCCGUAAU
rnacentral:rRNA from 1 species